UACGAGGGGGGCAAGCGUUGUUCGGAAUUAUUGGGCGUAAAGGGCGCGUAGGCGGUGCGGUAAGUCUGAUGUGAAAUCUCCGGGCUCAACUCGGAGUCUGCAUCAGAAACUGCCGUGCUCGAGUGUGGGAGAGGUGAGUGGAAUUCCCGGUGUAGCGGUGAAAUGCGUAGAUAUCAGGAGGAACACCAAUGGCGAAGGCAGCUCGCUGGGGACGGUACUGACGCUGAGACGCGAAAGCGUGGGGGAGCAAACAGG
rnacentral:rRNA from 1 species